rnacentral:rRNA from 1 species
UACGUAGGGCGCAAGCGUUGUCCGGAAUUAUUGGGCGUAAAGCGUUUGUAGGUGGUUUGUUAAGUUGGAUGUUAAAACUUUGAGCUCAACUCAAAGUCUGUGUCCAAAACUGGCAGACUCGAGACAGGUAGAGGUAGGUGGAAUUCUGUAUGUAGGGGUAAUAUCCGUAGAUAUACAGAGGAACACCAAAAGCGAAGGCAGCCUACUGGACCUGUUCUGACACUCAAAAACGAAAGCGUGGGGAGCAAACGGG